AUUGAGGACAUUGAGUGAAGAUAGAUUUUUGAAAGUUAAUAGAAAAGUUCUAAUGAGCCUAUUAUAGCUGAGAUCAAGGAUUUUCAAUUUUCUCAAUCCUAAUAUGUCUGUCAAAUACAAAGUUCUCAAAGAAAGAGAAUUAAAACAAAAAUAUUUAUGACAAGCUGCUAUAAAAUAUGAACAUAAUGAAAUUGCAGAAACAAGUUUGAUGAGGA
rnacentral:lncRNA from 1 species